UAAAACAUUUAUUCCUGUACUCUUUGUCUAUAUCCUUUUUCUUAGCUGUGCAAUCUUUAUACUGUGGAGACGCAAUGGCCCAGUGGUUAGGGCAGUGGACUCGCGGUCAUAAGAUCGCUGUUUCGAUUCCCAGACCGGGCGUUGUGAGUGUUUA